rnacentral:rRNA from 1 species
GGCGUGCUUAACACAUGCAAGUCGAGCGAUGAAGCACCUUCGGGUGUGAAUUAGCGGCGAACGGGUGAGGAACACGUGAAGAAUCUGCCUUCAACUCUGGGAUAACUCCGGGAAACCGGGGCUAAUACCGGAUAUGAGCCUUGAUCGCAUGAUCGGGGCUGGAAAGUUUUUCGAUUGAAGAUGACUUCGCGGCCUAUCAGCUUGUUGGUGAGGUAAUGGCUCACCAAGGCGACGACGGGUAGCCGGCCUGAGAGGGCGACCGGCCACACUGGGACUGAGACACGGCCCAGACUCCUACGGGAGGCAGCAGUGGGGAAUAUUGGGCAAUGGAGGAAACUCUGACCCAGCGACGCCGCGUGAGGGAUGAAGGCCUUCGGGUUGUAAACCUCUUUCAGUAGGGAAGAAGCGAAAGUGACGGUACCUACAGAAGAAGCACCGGCUAACUAUGUGCCAGCAGCCGCGGUAAUACAUAGGGUGCAAGCGUUGUCCGGAAUUAUUGGGCGUAAAGAGCUCGUAGGUGGUUCGAUACGUCGGAUGUGAAAAUCAGGGGCUCAACCCCUGACCUGCAUCCGAUACGGUCGAGCUAGAGUUUGGUAGGGGAGACUGGAAUUCCUGGUGUAGCGGUGGAAUGCGCAGAUAUCAGGAGGGACACCGAUGGCGAAGCAGGUCUCUGGGCCAAUACUGACACUGAGGAGCGAAAGCGUGGGGAGCGAACAGGAUUAGAUACCCUGGUAGUCCACGCCGUAAACGGUGGGCGCUAGUUGUGCGAACCUUCCACGGUUUGUGCGACGCAGCUAACGCAUUAAGCGCCCCGCCUGGGGAG